GUGCUCGCUUUGGCAGCACAUAUACUGACACUGGAACGAUACAGAGAAGAUUAGCAUGGCCACUGCGCAAGGAUGACACGCAAAUUCAUGAAGGGUUCCAUAUUAAA